rnacentral:rRNA from 1 species
UGGUCUUAGCUUGCUAAGGCCGAUGGCGACCGGCGCACGGGUGAGUAACACGUAUCUAACCUGCCGUCUACUCUUGGACAGCCUUCUGAAAGGAAGAUUAAUACAAGAUGGCAUCAUGAGUCCGCAUGUUCACAUGAUUAAAGGUAUUCCGGUAGACGAUGGGGAUGCGUUCCAUUAGAUAGUAGGCGGGGUAACGGCCCACCAAGGCAACGAUGGGUAGCCGGUCUGAGAGGAAGGUCCCCACAUUGGAACUGAGACACGGUCCAAACUCC